GACGAACGCUGGCGGCGUGCUUAACACAUGCAAGUCGAACGGAAAGGCCCUGCUUUUGUGGGGUGCUCGAGUGGCGAACGGGUGAGUAACACGUGAGUAACCUGCCCUUGACUUUGGGAUAACUUCAGGAAACUGGGGCUAAUACCGCAUAGGAGCUCCUGCUGCAUGGUGGGGGUUGGAAAGUUUCGGCGGUUGGGGAUGGACUCGCGGCUUAUCCGCUUGUUGGUGGGGUAGUGGCUUACCAAGGCUUUGACGGGUAGCCGGCCUGAGAGGGUGACCGGCGACAAUGGGACUGAGAUACGGCCCAGACUCCUACGGGAGGCAGCAGUGGGGAAUAUUGCACAAUGGGCGGAAGCCUGAUGCAGCGACGCCGCGUGCGGGAUGACGGCCUUCGGGUUGUAAACCGAUUUCGCCUGUGACGAAGCGUGAGUGACGGUAAUGGGUAAAGAAGCACCGGCUAACUACGUG
rnacentral:rRNA from 1 species